rnacentral:rRNA from 1 species
AGCGAACGCUGGCGGCAGGCCUAACACAUGCAAGUCGAGCGGCCGUAGCAAUACGGCAGCGGCAGACGGGAGAGUAACACGUGGGAACGUGCCCUUUGGUUCGGAAUAACGCAGGGAAACUUGCGCUAAUACCGGAUAAGCCCUUACGGGGAAGGAUUAUCGCCAUUGGAGCGGCCCGCGUCUGAUUAGCUAGUUGGUGAGGUAACGGCUCACCAAGGCGACGACGCGUAGCCGGA